rnacentral:rRNA from 1 species
UACGAAGGGGGCUAGCGUUGCUCGGAAUCACUGGGCGUAAAGGGUGCGUAGGCGGGUCUUUUAAGUCAGGGGUGAAAUCCUGGAGCUCAACUCCAGAACUGCCUUUGAUACUGAAGAUCUUGAGUUCGGGAGAGGUGAGUGGAACUGCGGGUGAGAGGUGAAAUUCGUAGAUAUUCGCAAGAACACCAGUGGCGAAGGCGGCUCACUGGCCCGAUACUGACGCUGAUGCACGAAAGCGUGGGGAGCAAACAGG